rnacentral:lncRNA from 1 species
AAGAGCAUCGGGCUAUAGCAGAGGCUUUGUAAACAUUGUUAGCCAUAGAAAUCUCUCUCAAAUGGGUUAUGUAUGUGCCCAGGUAGCUUUUUGAAAUCACAUUUCCAUACCUAUACCUGUAUCUACACAUAUGUACAUGGACACAUGUAUGCAUAUUUCACAUAUGAUACACACUGAAAUAUAUGUCUGUAUGUGUUCAUAUAUACUUGUGUAUCAUAUAUAUUUGUGUGUGUAUAGUUGUGUAUUUUUCUUUGUUUUGUUCCCUUCCUUUUCUCUUUCUGAGCAUGAUCUUGGAAUAUCUUUGCUUCAGGAGGAUUUUCAGCCCUCAGACCAAAGCUGUGUGAACACAACUGUUCUCCCCAUGUUAUGAAAGUGGCCAAGAUCGUUAAAAUAUUCUGCUGCAGAGGUCUUUGUGGCAAUAAGAUGUGAGAAGGCACACCUGCCAGGGUGACGAGAACCCAGAGGGAGAUCUUACCACAUGUGAAAAUUCAGAGCAAUCUGACCAGCCUGGACAAGAAAGGAAACUUGGGGAAAUUCUGAUGAAAGUCCUUUGGGCUGUAAGUUUCAUGAGGGUAGGACUGGUGUCUGCCACGUUCACUUCUGAGCCUCCAGUGCCUGGCACAUAGCGGGUGCUCGAUAUUCGUUUGCUUGCUGAUUGAUGGCAAAAGUUAUGCUGAUCAGUCCCUCUGCAAAGACUCCCUCCCUUACUUGACUGGCAGCUAUAGCCCAGGUGGGCAGCAAAAGUCUGAGGGCAGAAGCCAGGUUACCACAGGUGACAAAGAGACAGGCUCUGAGUGAAUGGUCUAUGAGCCAAUUCUAGCCCAUAGGGGCCAUGGGGCUGGAUGUGAGGAGCUCAUCCAGGAAGAGGUGUGGAAAAGCAGCAAGCCGGCUCAUAACACAGCAAGGGUUUAUGAGGAGGUGGUGGGAGGUGAGUGGUCUCUGUUUGGGUCUGUGUGGGAGAUCAGGGGCAGUACUGGGGUCCAGCCCUGGCCUCGAGUGUUCUCCCAGCUUGACCCUGGCCUAGCCCCUGCCCACUGAGCUUCUGUGAGGCUGCACCUCUGGAGCUGCUGCCUGGCUUUGCGCAGGCCGUGCUGUCACACAGGUGUGAGCUUGAACUUGGCUCACUAGGGCUAAUCCCCGGCUUGGGGAUGCAGAGCCUGGGAGAAAUGGCCACCAUUUUCUUCACACAAAGGCGUAGUUUAAUACCCAGUAGCCACAUGGUGAGAGUCCUGAGGGGGUGCCUGUCCAUACUUACAGCUGUCAGUGGGGGCGGCUUUUUCUGAGGCUCUGUAUUACUUUCCUAUGGCCACUGCAACACAUUCUCACCAACUUGAUGUCUCUAAAGGGUGGAAAUGUAUUUCCUCACAGUUCUGGAGGCUAGAAAUCCAACAUAAGUUUCCCAGGGAAUCUGUUUCUUUCCUCUUCCAGCUUCAGGAACUGCAUUUCUUGGGUCACAGCCCC